GCCUCUGGGAGGGGAGGGGGCGCGCCGGGGAUGAAGUGGAAAAAAGUGGGCGAGCAGAAGCGUUGAAAAUAUCGUGACAAGAAGUUUCCGUGUGCCCGAGAGCGUGAAUUGCUCCUAAUUACCGUGUCCGAUCGUCCUGGGCCCUGGACUCGCGUCCAUCUGUCCUUCCCGGUGGAAGUCGAAGUCGAGGUCUCCGCGGGCAGAGGAGCGGUUUUGGCCUUGCCUUGCGCUUACCUGUGCUGACGUCACGGACCGGAGGAGCAGCUCGGUCUGCCGAGGAGGCGGCAGGGGUCUGGUCCAGGAGCGGACAAACCCAGCUUCUUCUGGCCCUGGAGCCGGGAACUGGGAGGAAGACGCGACCGCCAGGGCUCCACCGCCAGCCGCAGAACCUCGCGCCCGAAGAGCGCUAGGCUCGCUCCCCUGAAGGAAGCCACCCCGAAGGACGAGGCUGAAUGGCAGGAGGGGUCAAGUGACGAAGAAUCCGGACCAUCUGCCACCCGGACCGAGAUGGGCCGCUGGCUCCCAGGAAAUCCCAUCCUCUCAGGAGCCUGGGAAUGGGUUUGGGAGAAAAGGGUCAGCUCCAGAGAUGGUCUUCCGGGUGGAGCGAGGCUAGGGGAGUGCACUGGGUAUAACAGGUCCGCCCGGGCGCGCAGGACCGAACCCCACCUCGCAGCACCCAAAGUUGUGCGCCUGAGCAGAUCCACGCGACAGCUGUGCCCCCUCCGGGGGCGGUGGCUGGGAGGAUCCCUUCAUUGCCGGGGAUUCGCGCGGGGGUCCUGGGAGCCUACUCCCGGAGUCUUUCCCAGGAAGUUUUCAGGAAAUUAUUUUAAACCCAAAACGAAAUAAAUUAAACAAAUUCGCUUAGGUUGC